UUCUGUAGGCUGUUAAUUAAGUCAGAGGUAAAAUCUUUCGGCUCAACCGAAAGCCUGCUUUUGAUACUGGUUAACUAGAGGUAGUUAGGGGGCAACGGAACGUAUGGUGUAGCGGUAAAAUGCGUUGAUAUCAUACGGAACACCAAGGGGGAAGCCAGUUGCCUGGGACUGUCCUGACGCUGAGAGACGAAAGCGUGGGUAGCGAAAC
rnacentral:rRNA from 1 species